rnacentral:rRNA from 1 species
CUUACCGGGUCCGGACACACUGAGGAUUGACAGGCAAUAUUAAUUUUUAUUCGUAAAAAUUAUGUUAAAUAUGCUAGUCCUUUCAUGAUUAUGUGAUAGGUGGUGCAUGGCCGUUCUUAGUUCGUGGAGUGAUCUGUCUGCUUAAUUGCGUUUCACUAAGGGCCUAUAAAUUUACGUGUGUUGCGGCACUUUGACCCCUCUUUUUAAGAGCGCGCGUCUUAGUUUGCUUUGCUCGCACAAUUAGGUCCUGAAAGCAACGAACGUGACCGCAACCUCUUGUUGCCUUUAUACCAAACGCGUUUAAAAAUUUUUAAUUUUUUUUCGCGAAAAAAGGCUUUUUAAACUAGAGGGACCGCUGUUACUUUCUUAAACCAGAGGAAGGUUGCGGCAAUAACAGGUCUGUGAUGCCCUUAGAUGUUCCGGGCUGCACACGUGCUACAAUGAUUAUUGCAGUGAGCAUCUCAUUUUUUACACACCGCAUGCGCGAGUCCGCUUAUUCUGUCUUUCGGGACUGUUUUAAGCGUGUAUCUCUGCGCGCGGUAAAGCCUGCUUCGAAAGUAAGUGGGUAAUCAAUUAGAAGUAAUGAUUUCCUUUUUUUUUUCAGCACAAAUAUAUACGGCGUUUAUGCCCGGGCUGCCUUGUUGUAGCUUUUGUGCGCAUAGAUGUUUUUUCCGUAUGUGCGAUUGUCAAUUCAUGGUGGGGACAGACCAUUGUUAAUUGUUGGUCUCGGUCUUAACUAGGAAUGCCUUGUACGGGUCUUUGGUUCAACAAACCACCCGGAAUACGUCCCUGCCCUUUGUACACACCGCCCGUCGCUCUUACCGAUGGACUUCUCUGUGAGUUUGAGGGACUGGGAACGCAGUCUCGUGCUGCAUAACCUAUGGAAACUUAAACGAACAGUGUGGUCUAAAGGAAAGAGAAGUCGUAACAAGGCAUCGG